GAUGAACGCUGGCGGCGUGCCUAAUACAUGCAAGUCGAGCGAACAGACGAGGAGCUUGCUCCUCUGACGUUAGCGGCGGACGGGUGAGUAACACGUGGAUAACCUACCUAUAAGACUGGGAUAACUCCGGGAAACCGGAGCUAAUACCGGAUAAUAUAUUGAACCGCAUGGUUCAAUAGUGAAAGACGGUUUUGCUGUCACUUAUAGAUGGAUCCGCGCCGCAUUAGCUAGUUGGUAAGGUAACGGCUUACCAAGGCAACGAUGCGUAGCCGACCUGAGAGGGUGAUCGGCCACACUGGAACUGAGACACGGUCCAGACUCCUACGGGAGGCAGCAGUAGGGAAUCUUCCGCAAUGGGCGAAAGCCUGACGGAGCAACGCCGCGUGAGUGAUGAAGGUCUUCGGAUCGUAAAACUCUGUUAUUAGGGAAGAACAAAUGUGUAAGCAACUAUGCACGUCUUGACGGUACCUAAUCAGAAAGCCACGGCUAACUACGUG
rnacentral:rRNA from 1 species